AAAUGAACACUUCUAAAUCUAAAAAUGCUGGUUUUAUAAGCAGAUAACACAUCUGAAAUGACUUGUAAGACAUCUUACGGAGGUUAGGAUGCAGGCCCUG